GAUGAACGCUGGCGGCGUGCCUAAUACAUGCAAGUCGAGCGAACAGACGAGGAGCUUGCUCCUCUGACGUUAGCGGCGGACGGGUGAGUAACACGUGGAUAACCUACCUAUAAGACUGGGAUAACUUCGGGAAACCGGAGCUAAUACCGGAUAAUAUAUUGAACCGCAUGGUUCAAUAGUGAAAGACGGUUUUGCUGUUACUUAUAGAUGGAUCCGCGCCGCAUUAGCUAGUUGGUAAGGUAACGGCUUACCAAGGCAACGAUGCGUAGCCGACCUGAGAGGGUGAUCGGCCACACUGGAACUGAGACACGGUCCAGACGCCUACGGGAGGCAGCAGUAGGGAAUCUUCCGCAAUGGGCGAAAGCCUGACGGAGCAACGCCGCGUGAGUGAUGAAGGUCUUCGGAUCGUAAAACUCUGUUAUUAGGGAAGAACAAAUGUGUAAGUAACUAUGCACGUCUUGACGGUACCUAAUCAGAAAGCCACGGCUAACUACGUG
rnacentral:rRNA from 1 species